UUAUGGGUAUUCACUUCUACUAUAUAACUAAGAAUGGAAACCGCUUGUAUCUGAGGCUGAAAUCUGAAAAACAAUAGAAAAAAAAUUAUUCUAGGUCUCUUUCAAUCUAGUUUCUUAAAUUGUCAGACACUGAAUUGCUUCAGCUAUGCAAUGGGGAUAGUAGUUCCCUCAUACAAGUUAUGGUGAGGAUUAAAAAAGGCAACUCAUGGAAAGAGCUUUGCAAAGCCUGACAACUCAGUGAACAGUCAAUAAGUUCAUUAACAGAUCCUGAGUUUCAAAGUUUGCGUUCAGCUGACAGAUAAUUCAUUGCAAUACCAGCUUUAGGCUCUUAUCUUCCCAGGCCCAGUGUUGUGUCUCUUUGCAGUCAGUAUUCUGUUCUCUUUUGCUAUUCUUAGCCAUUAUUCAUUUCUUCCUUCAAAAAUAUUCAUUCAUGGGAGUUCCCACUGUGGUGCAGCAGGUUAAGAAUCUGACUGCUGCCAAUCAGGUGGCUGCAGAGGCUUGAGUUUGAUCCCCAGACAAGCACAGUGGGUUAAAGGGUAUGGCAUUGCUACAACUGUGGCUUGGAUUCAAUCCCUGGCCCGGGAACUUUCAUAUGCUGUAGAUUAUGGCCAUUAAAAAAAAACCCGACAACUUAUUUUUAUAUUAAAAAAAAUAAAAAUAGUGUUUUGUGCAAGUAUCCUGUAUAUAGUUCAUUUUUUCCAUGUGAAAUUUAUAUAGUGUUGGGCAAUUUCUAAAUCAAGUACAAAAGUAAAUAGCCUUGACCAUGUCUAGGAUUCCCCUUUUAUUUUCUUGACAAACUCAUAAUUUUUACAUAAAGCUUUCUGUGUCAGGCCCUGUUCUAAGUAUUUACUAACAUGAAUUCAUUUAUAUCAACGGUUUCCAUUGCUAAAACAAAUAAUAAUAAAAAAAAAACCCUAGGUGAGCAGCCUAUUUAGUAAAAUCUAGUUUCAGUAAUACAUGUUUUAAAUAUUUCAGUACAAUUUAAUUCAGUGUUAGUGUCUUUGGUCUGCAGCCAUUGAAAGCCAUGGGGGUUCUUUACAAGUAAUCUGAAGAAGCUUUUCUCCUCCUCACAGUGUUUGGGUUUGCUUGAGCUUCUCCAUGGCAAUAAAUCAUUCAGCAUAGGGCCUGGCAUGCUGGUGUGUUUAGGAGCUCUGCAUGAUCAAAGAGCAAGUUGUGUAAACAAAUAGAUUUAUCUCAAAUAAACACAAUAAAAUAGAAUGGAUUUAAUAGACAUGAAAUUGCUCUUAGGUUUAGUGGCCAAAUUCUCUAUUUGAAGGCCCAGAAUCACAAUAAAAAAGACAUGGGUCAGAGAUGGAACAGAGGCUUGCAAUUUCUUUACAAGCUCAGUUAAGAAAUGUGUACAUCAUAUACAUUGUUCAGUAUUCUGGGGAUAAAUUGAAACUCAAAUUCUCAAGUAUUUCUUCACGUCAGAUUUGUAAUUUUUUCCCCUAAAAAUAACUUUUUCACACAUAAUCUUGACAAAUUUGUAUUCUUUCAUUAGAAAGCAGCUAACCUGCAGUGAUAUUCAUCAAAACACGAUUUUACUGGAGUUCCCAUCGUGGCUCAGUGGUUAAUGAACCCGACUAGCAUCCAUGAGGACACAGGUUCGAUCUUUGGCCUCACUCAGUGGGUUAAGGAUCCAGCAUUGCCAUGAGCAGUGGUGUAGGUCACAGCCAUGGCUUAGGUCCCGCGUUGCUGUGGCUUUGGCGUAGGCCAGUGGCUACAGCUCCGAUUUGACCCCUAGCCUGGGAACCUCCAUAAGCCACAGGAAUGGCACUAAAAAGACAAAAAAGACCAAAAAAACCAUGAUUUUACUAAAAUCAUAUAUAUAUAUCAAUGAUUUUUCUUAUAUUUGUAUUUUCAUCCUUUGUUUCAGAAUCAUGUAUCUUUAACAUUAAAGGAAAUAUGUUAUUAUUGCUAAGAUAUUGACUGCAUGUAUAUAUCUAAAGAGUCAGUAUAGGUUAAGAGUUUAGCCUCUGGAGUUAGAAACUUCACAGAGUGAACGCAGUACUCCACAAGGCCUGUUGACUUGGGCAAAUUACUUAACCUUUUCUAUAAAAUGAGGGCAAGAGUCAAAACUACCUUAUAAAGUCUUGUGAGAAUGAACUGAGUCAUGUAUGUAAACUAUAUAGUGUGCUACCUGGAACAUAUAUGGGAAAACAUUCUCUAUGAGAAUCUCAUCUCUGUGCACAUCUGAGCAAAAAAACAUCGAUAUCCCUGUAUAAACCACAGAUCAGAGAUGGAGAAGAUAGGGAUAGGACCAUAGGUCAUAGAGAUCGAAUCUCUCUUCAAGGAAGAGAAAAGAUUUAUUUCCUGAGCAGUAUAAUAAAGAUCUCCAUCCUGGGGAAAGACUGAGUGUGUCUCCUGGGAGCUUUAAAAGAUUGGGGUUUUCUAAACUUGGGGUCCCUUAAUAUAUGCAAGCAGAUUAACUUAGUUUAUAAGCAAGGUAAAAUCCUAAACCCUUCAGUUAUUGAUUGCAUGAUUAGCACUCAAUAACCAUCAGUAGUUGUUAUAUGAUUAUAUACUCUUGAAGAGGUUGUAACACAGGAAGUACUCAGUGUAAAUUUCCCAACACUAACAAGAUCAAUGGUAUGCCAAUUGACUAAGAUAAUCCUGCAGCAGUCUAUUUAAUGUUUGUUUUUCUUUUAUGAAUUGAGCAAUUUUUAGGUUAAUCAAAUUAUGGUCUAGCCACUUGGCUCCUUCAUUUAAAUAUGGCCUUAUGCAUAUGUUCUCUAUUUUGAAAAUAAAAGUUAUGUUUAUACCACUUUUUAUUGUCUUUUUUUAUAUUUUUUAUCACUCAAAUGAACUUAUCAUUUUUUAAAAAAUUCAAUUAAUUAGAUUCCCAGCCAUGAAAUUUUGAAAUCUCUAGGCACAGCUGUUCCAAAAUAAAAAGAAAUAAUAAUAUAAAAAUAAGUGAAUAAAAUUUGGAAAUUGAAUCUAAAUUCAAUUUUAUUUUGGUAGCCUUAUGGUAUACCAAAUCUUUUUUUGACUCAUUAUAUAGAAAAUGAAGCAAUAAAAUCAUACCUGAGAGUCAGUUUUAUUACCUAUAGCUUGUAUAGUCAUUCAAUUAGAAAAAUGAGACUGCUUUGAUUGAUUCAAAAUUUGAAAACUGGGGCUUAGGAACAAAAAUUUUAGUCUUCUAUUAACUUCAGUCUCCAAAAUAUCAUUUUGCUUUUGCAAAAUUGAGAAAUCUAUGACUAUCAAAUGUAAUUAUCAGUAUUUUAAGACAAUACUAACAAAUUUAAUAUACCCUUCAGUUAAAUGGGGGUGGUUGAAGCAGCUUCAUUCUUAGGUCAGCAUGAAAGUGAGUUAACUUACAAUUAAUUUACCUGUGUGUUAACUUGUUAUAAAAUGUUUGGCAUUCUACUUUUAUUAUAAAUUUUAAAAUUAUUUAAAAUACUUUACAAAUAAAAUUAAGAGCAAAGACUCAUUGAGACCCUAAAGCUUCUCCAAGUUUUUGCAGAAUGUAUUUUAGAAAGCCAAAUAGAGCAUAAGGGAAAUAUUCAAGACAUAUUCUCCUUGAGAAAUAUUGGAUCUGCACGCAUUUUUCUUUUUUUUUGGCUGUGCCUACACUGAAGUUGCCUUCCUGGGUAUCAAACCCUCACCACAGAAAUCACCAGAGCCACAGCAGUGACAAUGCCAGAUCCUUAACCCACUGAGCCACCAGGGAACUCCUACAUGCUUUUAGAUUAGUAGAUUCUUCUUGGGCUCCCCAGUUUUUUCAUUCACCUUUGUUUUCUUAUGCUCACCCAGCUGCUUUCAUCUACAUUGCUUCUUUGCUUCCUAUAUUGAGCUGGAUUUUUACCUUUCAUUAGAUGAUUCCUAACAGCCAGUCAAAAUUCAAGGUGCUAUAACUUUAAGAAAAAGAGGAAAACAAUAGAAACCAUUGUCAGGGAAUAUUUUUAAAAUAGAGAGUAAAGCCUCUAGGGGAAGAGAGAAUAUAUAUGCUGGAUUGUUGAUUUUAGGAAAAAAAAUACAGUAUGACAAGAGCAUACUUCUGGAAGCUUACCUCUUCCAUACUUGUUUCUCUUAUCAACUAAGGAUAUUAUUUUUUACCUGUUAAUAAGUGUUAUAAAGUCAUGAUUGAAAAACCAUUGUAUUUAUAGCUUUACUCUGUUAAGAAAGUCAUAUUCUGUGGGAUAAAAUGUAAACCAACUAUAGCAAUGUCCCCAUGAAAAUAAUUAUUUUAUAGUUUCAUUCUAAAAUGCACUCUUCUUACCUGUUCAGCAUAUAACACAACUCAUAACUCCUGUGUCUCACUAGGGGCUGGUGCAGCACUUGCUCUGAGGCCCCUUUUCCAUAAGAGGUGAACAACAGCCUUAGAUUUUUUUUUUUUUUUUUUUUCUUUUUAGGGCCACACCCAUGGCAUUUGGAGGUUCCCAGGCAAAGGGUCGAAUUGGAGCUAAAGCUGCCAGCUUACACCACAGUCACAGCAACCCAGGAUCCAUGUGGCAUCAGUGACCUACACCACAGCUCUCGGCAACGCCAGACCCUUAACCCACUGAGCAAGGCCGGGGAUUGAACCCGCAUCCUCAUGGAUACUUGUCAGGUUCAUUAACCAUUGAACCAUGAUGGGAACUCUAGUUUCAGAUUUGUAAAGAGGUUUAAGCAUGAUAUUUAGGGCUUUAAAAAUACCUGCAUUAUCAGUUCAUAUACUACCCAGUUCAUUUCUCUUGCCUGAGUUGGAGUUAUGUGAUAAAGUAUAGAUAGGGUGCAGACUAUCCAUCUUUUUCAUAACUGCUCUAUGAGGAUGUAUUCUUGUAUUUUCAUUAGAGUCCAGGAUUUGGAAUCAUAGGCUAGGUUCAUCUGGGCCUGUCAAUUGGAAUGCCUGUACGUGACCUUGUCAUGUAACUUGGGCUUCCUUACAUCAUGGCAAUCCCAAGGAUUUACAUCAAAGGGCUCAAAGAGCAGAGAGGAAGUUGCUUAGGCCUCUUAGAACUAGUCUUGCACAUCACUUCCCAGUACCCUAUUGCUCAAAGCAACCACAGUCUGCCCUGAGCAAGAGGAGGGCACUUUACUAUUGAGGAACUGCUACAGAAUUCAUGUUAAAACAGCCAACAA
rnacentral:lncRNA from 1 species